GCCGCUUUAGCUCAGUUGGUUAGAGCAGCUGUUUUGUAAACAGCAGGUCUUCGGUUCGAGUCCGAAAAGCGGCUCCA
rnacentral:tRNA from 1 species